GGGAAGUCUCUUGUUUUGAGGAGCAAACGUCGGCUGGCCUCUUUCUUCUGUUUGGACUGAGCCACAAAAAAGAAGAUUUCAAGCAAAAUUGGAAGAUUUUCUAUAUGUGUGGACACCCUCCAGCAACCUGCAAUGGAGUUCAUCUCCCUGUCAGUGUUGUUUGCAUCCGGGAACAUCUGAGUGAGCUGGAUGGGCGGGGACAGUCUAUGCACCUGUGAUGCAUUAGGAGUGCACUGUGUCUUUCAGCUGUGUCGGACGAUUCUGUGAUGAACGGCAAGCCAUUUAUAUGGAUCUCAGAGACCAGAAAUAGCGAACAGUUAAUGAUAAUAAACCUUGACGGUUCGGCCGAUCAGGAGGAAGAGGAGGCCGGCCAGCAAAGAGAAGAAAAUGCCAAUAGGGGCGAACAUGAAGGAAAGGCCAUAGUGGAGAGUUAGAUGGAAGUCCGGACACAUGGUGGAACGCUGAUAAUUCACGUAGACAUCUACCACGUCCAACACCUCGAUCCACAGCACGUACAUCACAACCACGCACAGUAGGAAGAAACCUGAAAUGCAGUUCACUACACGUUGUUGUGAUGAUUUGACACAAAGUGGAAUGAAUUUACAAAGAAAUCUGAAGGAAGCAAAUCCAGUCUCACCCGAUGCCAAGAAGAAGCCACCUCCCGUCUUGUACAAGCAGUGGCUGGCGAAGGGAGCAGCGCAGAUGAUGAAGAAACCUGCGAGCACCACGGCAGCCACGCCGAUGAGCAUGAAGAUGCUCCAGAAGCCUCUGUAGACUGAAAGAAAACCAUACACAUCACGUAUGAGGACGUAAAAUGAUAAUCAAAAAGCUCAUUUGUAGACACUUACUGAUGGCGGAUUCAUAGGCCGUGGCAUUGUGGGUGUGAUGGGACACAGGGAAUGGGAAGAGGUAGGAGUGCAUGCACACUUUGGAGUGAGGUUGAUUUGCUGAAAAGGGAAAAUUCAAAAGGCUACAAUGAAGAAUAUGAACAUGAAUAAACACAACGCUGUGGAGCGAUCAUAUUACACUGGAACGAUAGUUUCGCUCUUAAAAUACCACCUUUUCAACCUGUGGUAAGACUCAACCCUUUAAUUCAUUUACAACUUACCGUAUUUUUCAGACUAUAAGUCACGUUUUUUUUCAUAGUUUGGCAAAGGUAGCAUCUUGUACUCUGGAGCAACUUAUGUGUGAUUAUUUAGGGUCGGACCGACUUCUCUCUCGCUAACUUUUUUUUAAAAAUAUAUAUUCAUCGGGGCUGUCAAAUUUAUCGCGUUAACGGGCGGCAAUUUUUUUUUUUUAAUUAAUCACGUUAAAAUAUUUGACGCAAUUAACGCAUUUACCCGUUCAUGCGUUGCCUCAAACAGUAUACAAUGACGCCGUUUUAGCACAUUGAGAGCGAAAAGGCAGAGAAAUGCAAGUGGACACAGGCGUUCAUCAGACCGCGCCUUAUAUUGGCUUAACCUUUGACAGCCACUACUAACAGUCAUGGUUGCCCAACUUCCCAUCAUGCAUUUGGGCGGAGCAAGAGACGAUUUUUUUUCUCAACACGCUUAAUUGAACACAACGCAGAACAUAUUGUAUACCAUUUGCAGCCACUACUGACAGUCACGGUUGCCCAACUCCCAAUCAUGCAUUUGGGCGGAGCAGGAGACGAUCUUUUUCUCAACACACUUAAUUGAACACAACGCAGAACAUAUUGUAUACCAUUUGCAGCCACUACUGACAGUCAUGGUUGCCCAAGUUCCCAUCAUGCAUUUGGGCGGAGCAAGAGACGAUCUUUUUCUCAACACGCUUAAUUGAGCACAACGCAGAACAUAUUGCAUGCCAUUUGCAGCCACUACUGACAAUCACGGUUGCCCAACUUCCCAUCAUGCAUUUGGGCAGAGCAAGAGACGAUCUUUUUCUCAACACGCUUAAUUGAACACAACGCAGAACAUAUUGUAUACCAUUUGCAGCCACUACUGACAGUCAUGGUUGCCCAACUUCCCAUUAUGCAUUUGGGCGGAGCAGGAGACGAUCUUUUUCUUAACACGCAUGAUUGAACACAACGCAGAACAUACUGUAUACCAUUUGCAGCCACCACUGCUAGUCAUGUCUGCCCAACUACCCAUCAUGCAUUUGGGUGGAACAGUUCAGUCGCUACAGUAUCAUUUAGUGACAGCACGACUAAAAUAAUAUAAUAAUAUUAUAAUCUCUCAAAAAAAUAAUGUUCACAAAAAAACAAAAGCGCUCAAUGCAAAGAGAACUGCCAUUCCCAAUCAAAAUAGCUAUGCAAAAUACAUAUAACACUUUUUCAGACUUUUUAAUUUUAUUAAAACGAAAACAUUAAG